UACGGAGGGUGCGAGCGUUAUCCGGAUUCACUGGGUUUAAAGGGUGCGUAGGUGGGUUUGUAAGUCAGUGGUGAAAUCUCCAAGCUUAACUUGGAAACUGCCAUUGAUACUAUAGAUCUUGAAUUUCCGGAGGUCAGCUGGAAUAUGUCAUGUAGCGGUGAAAUGCUUAGAUAUGACAUAGAACACCGAUUGCGAAGGCAGCUGGCUACAGGAAUAUUGACACUGAGGCACGAAAGCGUGGGGAUCAAACAGG
rnacentral:rRNA from 1 species